GCAAUACGCUGGCGCGGGUGUACGCUGGACUCGCACGAUCCCAGUGUGAGACUGGCGCCAGCUACUGAAUCUUUCCGGUGCGGGCGUACAUACAAUAGGAACUAAUUCAUAAUUUUGGGAUUUAUUCGAAAUUUUUCCGGUACUGCCAUGAAGUUGGGCGUGAAUUUUCGGAAGUGGAUUUUCUGGAAACGGCAUGGGUACAAUGGAAACGAGUUUUGGUACGUUGAAUUCAGAACCAAGCACACUGGUUUAUUUUCAAGCCGCCAACUUCACGGGAGCCGUUUUUAGAGAUACGCCAACUUCAAGGAGGAAUUUUCGUUUCCCUUGUACGCCUUCAAUAGUUUUUUCCUAUAAUUAGUCUCGAGUAAUGAAUUCAAUAAAGAAAGCUAUGAUUCAAUAUUAGAUUAAAAGAUCGCUCCAAGGUUAUGAAGUCACCUUGGAUCGCUACACGCCAAAUCUCCUCAAGAUCAAAGUUUUUUCAUACCCAAUAACCGAGUAACUAUACUAUACAGCACUGCGGUUUUUACGCAGUUGGUAUAUAAGAAUUGACUCGCCAGUUUAAAGAUACGCCAUCUUCAAGAAGAAAUUAUGGAAACAAUGUGUGAGAUAAUACUCAAAAACCUAGAUAAAGCUGUUCGGUCCUUCUGGGUUAUGAUUUGGCAAAGUGUGGAACUUUUGGCGACGUACCGAAGUGCAACUCCAGCAGGAUUCAACAUAAACUGCCUCACGAGUUCAAGCUACUCUAACAACGUGCACCAAUCAACCAUGAAUUACCCCUCGCUCGGCGUGUCGCCCAAUUACGCUGCAAUAAAAAUAAUGCGUGUAAGAAAAAAUAACCAAGUGGGAGCUAACCUGGCUUUUAAAGAGCACAUAAAUCUACGCGAACGUUUUGUCACUUUUCCAAAGAAAUCUUUGGAUUAAUGAAAAUGUUACGCAGUGGUCCUCUUAAGAUACACCAAUUGAAGGCAAUCGUCCAUCAGCUACGUAUACGCAGACAAACGGUCAAACGAUUUCUUUAAAGCUUUCGUACAAAAGUAUUGCAAGAAAGAACAAAUUAUCUGCAUCAAUGUAAACAAAAUAAAUGCCACUUCUCGUUUA